rnacentral:rRNA from 1 species
UUUUAUUUGAGAGUUUGAUCCUGGCUCAGGAUGAACGCUGGCGGCGUGCCUAACACAUGCAAGUCGAGCGAUUCUCUUUGGAGAAGAGCGGCGGACGGGUGAGUAACGCGUGGGUAACCUGCCCUGUACACACGGAUAACAUACCGAAAGGUAUGCUAAUACGAGAUGAUAUAUUUUUAUUGCAUGAUAAAAAUAUCAAAGCUUUUGCGGUACAGGAUGGACCCGCGUCUGAUUAGCUAGUUGGUAAGGUAACGGCUUACCAAGGCGACGAUCAGUAGCCGACCUGAGAGGGUGAUCGGCCACACUGGAACUGAGACACGGUCCAGACUCCUACGGGAGGCAGCAGUGGGGAAUAUUGCACAAUGGGCGAAAGCCUGAUGCAGCAACGCCGCGUGAGCGAUGAA